rnacentral:rRNA from 1 species
UACGAAGGGGGCUAGCGUUGCUCGGAAUCACUGGGCGUAAAGCGCACGUAGGCGGAUUGUUAAGUCAGGGGUGAAAUCCUGGAGCUCAACUCCAGAACUGCCUUUGAUACUGGCGAUCUCGAGUCCGGGAGAGGUGAGUGGAACUGCGAGUGUAGAGGUGAAAUUCGUAGAUAUUCGCAAGAACACCAGUGGCGAAGGCGGACUCACUGGCCCGGUACUGACGCUGAGGUGCGAAAAGCGUGGGGAGCAAACAGG